rnacentral:rRNA from 1 species
GAUGAACGCUAGCUACAGGCUUAACACAUGCAAGUCGAGGGGCAGCAGGGAUUUAGCUUGCUAAAUUCGCUGGCGACCGGCGCACGGGUGCGUAACGCGUAUCCAACUUUCCCGUUACUCAGGGAUAGCCUUCCGAAAGGGGAGAUUAAUACCCUGAUGGUGUUUGAAGUUCGCAUGUUCUUCAAACUAAGAUUUAUCGGUAACGGAUAGGGAUGCGUGACAUUAGAUAGUAGGCGGGGUAACGGCCCACCUAGUCUACGAUGUCUAGGGGUUCUGAGAGGAAGGUCCCCCACACUGGAACUGAGACACGGUCCAGACUCCUACGGGAGGCAGCAGUGAGGAAUAUUGGUCAAUGGUCGGAAGACUGAACCAGCCAAGUAGCGUGAAGGAUGAAGGUUCUAUGGAUUGUAAACUUCUUUUAUAUAGGAAUAAAACCUCCCACGUGUGGGAGCUUGUAUGUACUAUAUGAAUAAGCAUCGGCUAACUCCGUGCCAGCAGCCGCGGU